GGUACGGUGGCUGAGGUUCAAGCGGUGGAUUGUAGCUCCACAAACAGAGGUUUGAGUCCUCUCCGUGUCA
rnacentral:tRNA from 1 species